AAUGGUGGUGUCUACAAACCAAAGAACAAGACCCUAAUUAACCUUAACAUGAAGUUGGCUUCAUGUCUGACUGACAGCAUUGAUGAAGAAUUCAGAAAGACCUUCCUAAAUGACUCAGAAUGUGGAGCAUUCAACGGAGUCAUCAAGACAUUUUCACUUAACACUGAUUCUCUGAUUGAAAAGUACAAAAAUACUGAACUGCAGCUCAGAUUUCUCAAGACAGAGG